GAUGAACGCUGGCGGCGUGCCUAAUACAUGCAAGUCGAGCGAAUGGAUUAAGAGCUUGCUCUUAUGAAGUUAGCGGCGGACGGGUGAGUAACACGUGGGUAGCCUGCCCAUAAGACUGGGAUAACUCCGGGAAACCGGGGCUAAUACCGGAUAACAUUUUGAACCGCAUGGUUCGAAAUUGAAAGGCGGCUUCGGCUGUCACUUAUGGAUGGACCCGCGUCGCAUUAGCUAGUUGGUGAGGUAACGGCUCACCAAGGCAACGAUGCGUAGCCGACCUGAGAGGGUGAUCGGCCACACUGGGACUGAGACACGGCCCAGACUCCUACGGGAGGCAGCAGUAGGGGAUCUUCCGCAAUGGACGAAAGUCUGACGGAGCAACGCCGCGUGAGUGAUGAAGGCUUUCGGGUCGUAAAACUCUGUUGUUAGGGAAGAACAAGUGCUAGUUGAAUAAGCUGGCACCUUGACGGUACCUAACCAGAAAGCCACGGCUAACUACGUGCCAGCAGCCGCUGUAA
rnacentral:rRNA from 1 species